AGAGUUUGAUCCUGGCUCAGAAUGAACGCUGGCGGCGUGCUUAACACAUGCAAGUCGUACGAGAAAUCUUCAGCUUGCUGAAGAGAGUAAAGUGGCGCACGGGUGAGUAACGCGUGGAUAAUCUAUCCUUGAAUCGGGGAUAACAUUGCGAAAGCGAUGCUAAUACCGGAUGACAUCAUAAAGGCUUAGGCCUUAAUGAUCAAAGAUGACCUCUACCUGUAAGUUGUUGUUUGAGGAGGAGUCCGCGUACCAUUAGCUUGUUGGUAGGGUAACGGCCUACCAAGGCCACGAUGGUUAGCUGGUCUGAGAGGAUGAUCAGCCACACUGGAACUGACACACGGUCCAGACUCCUACGGGAGGCAGCAGUGAGGAAUUUUGCGCAAUGGGGGAAACCCUGACGCAGCAACGCCGCGUGAGUGAUGAAGGCUUUAGGGUCGUAAAGCUCUGUCAAGUGGGAAGAACCUAUCCGGGAGUAAUAUGUCCGGGUAAUGACGGUACCACUGAAGAAGCACCGCUAACU
rnacentral:rRNA from 1 species